rnacentral:rRNA from 1 species
GAUGAACGCUGGCGGCGUGCUUAACACAUGCAAGUCGAACGAAGCAUUUAAGACAGAUUACUUCGGUUUGAAGUCUUUUAUGACUGAGUGGCGGACGGGUGAGUAACGCGUGGGUAACCUGCCUCAUACAGGGGGAUAGCAGCUGGAAACGGCUGGUAAUACCGCAUAAGCGCACAGUACCACAUGGUACAGUGUGAAAAACUCCGGUGGUAUGAGAUGGACCCGCGUCUGAUUAGCUUGUUGGCGGGGUAACGGCCCACCAAGGCGACGAUCAGUAGCCGACCUGAGAGGGUGACCGGCCACAUUGGGACUGAGACACGGCCCAGACUCCUACGGGAGGCAGCAGUGGGGAAUAUUGCACAAUGGAGGAAACUCUGAUGCAGCGACGCCGCGUGAGUGAAGAAGUAGUUCGCUAUGUAAAGCUCUAUCAGCAGGGAAGAUAGUGACGGUACCUGACUAAGAAGCUCCGGCUAAAUACGU